rnacentral:tRNA from 1 species
GCCGAGGUAGCUCAGUGGUAGAGCACCGGUCUGAAAAACCGGGUGUCGCUGGUUCGAUCCCAGCCCUCGGCACCA